rnacentral:lncRNA from 1 species
CUAAAACAAAAAUUUAUUUAAAAAAAAUUUAAAGGGCUAAAUUAAAGAUGGACCAGACUAAGUACUGGCAGGGGUGUAGAAUUAGAAAUUCACACACACUGGUAAUGGAAAAACAAAAAGGAACAACUGUUUUAAUCACAGUUUAGCAGUUUCUCUUAAAAAUUGGGCAGGCAUGGGGGCACACACCUGUAAUCUCAGUGACUCCGGAGGCUGAGACAGGAGGUUCACAAGUUGGAGGUCAGCCUUAGCAACUUAACAAGACUCUCAGCAGGUAAAGCAUCCCUGGAUUCAAUCCCCAAUACCAAAAGGCCAACGAACAAACAAAUUAAACAUUCAACUACCCUGUGACUUGGACACUACAGUCUGAAUUCUUAACAAGAAAAAGGAAACAAUAAUAAGAAAAAAUAUAUGUUCGGCAUGAGCUUUAUUUGCAACAAAAACUAACACAAAUGUUCAAAAUCUGAUGAAUGAAUAAAUAAAUAGUGGUAUGUCCACAGGAUAGAAUACAUUCAGCAAUAAAAAGAAUGAUGUACUUACAUAAACUUUGUUGAUUAAUCUCAAAAUAAUUACAGAACAUGAAGAAAACCAAAAAAAAAAAAAAAAAAAGCAAACAUUUUAAGGAUUCUAAUCAUGCAAAAUUAUAGAAAGCACAAAACAUCUAUUGUAAAGAAAAACGAGUGUAUAAUCUCGCUUCUCUGGGAAGAGAGAUUAUAAGGCAUGGUGGGACAUCCUUCUCAUCCCAGUUUGUGAGGCCAGGAAGAACACUCGAGGCCAGCCUCAGCAACUUAGCAAGGCCCUAAGUAAUUUAGUGAGACCCUGUCUCAAAAAUAAAAAUAAAAAGGACUGAGGAUGUUGCUCAGUGGUUAGUGCCCCUGGUACAAAAAAGAAAAAAAAAACAACUAUUGUUAAGCAUGAGAUGAGAAAAUUGAAUUGGAACUAUCAUGCCAGCAAAAAUUCAAUUACAAAGAGUAUGCAGUCCUCUUUGUUAUGAUAAUAUUAAUAAAGGAUACAGAUUGUAAAAUACCAGCCAAAAUUCGACUUUCAAAUCUCUCAGUUGGUUAGCUUUGUACUGGCUGGGUAUGACGCUUUAAGUAAAUCUGAUGAUUAAGUCAAAUGAUACACAAAAAGAAUUCCAUGUACCAAAAAACAACUUAAACAUGCAUAAUGAUCUCAAAAAUCUCAGAGUAAGACAUUCUCAGGGGGAAAAAAAAUUAUUGGUCUUGGUGAUGCGCCCCUGUAAUCCUAGCUCCUCAGGAGGCUGAGUUAGGAGGAUUGUAAGUUUGAGGCCAGCCUCAG